GGGGGUGUAACUUAAUUGGUAGAGUGUGUGCUUUGCAAGCAUAAAGUUGAGAGUUCAAAUCUCUCUACCUCCA
rnacentral:tRNA from 2 species